CCUCCUCCUUCUCACGAAUCCCUUUCCUCCCUUCUGUUUUUCCAUCCCCCACAGAUCAGAAAUGUGAAGGGGGUUAGGAGAUGUCCAGACUCCAAACAGAAAAAACUGUGAUCCUCAACAGACACAAGACAUAAUAUUGGAUUCUCUCCAGCCUCAUCCUGGGAAAAAUACAGGAGACUGAAGGGAAACAGGAAAGCAAAGACACAGAUACCAGGACACUUCCUUUUGAACACUUGGCUGCAGAAGUUAAGAGACGUGGGAUACGCGAAUUGAUUCUUACAUGAUAUGAGAGAUACAGGGGAGAGAAUUAUGAGAAGUGCUGCCAUGAAUUUUGCUUUCCCACCAUCAGUGCAAGAGCCCAAAAUGUUCUCAAUCAAAUCUGCUCACCCACUUCCAGAAACACGUCCGCGAGGGUGAUCAAUCCAUCUCCUGAAAUUUCCGUUUCUCUCAAUACACUGUGCUGCCAAAUUCUCUGAAGUCCCUGAACCUCAAAAUUCCAAAUAUCAAAGUCAGUGCCAGGAGUGAAACCUGAAAGAUAAAAGCAGAGAAGUUCCCCUCUGCCAUCCCUGGGUUUCCUCUUCUCAAUAAUAAUAAUUAUAACAACAGUAAUUUAAAAAAAUUACUGGUUCUCUGUAAUUACGGAAAAAGAAAGACUUUUUGCCAAGAUCGUCUCCUCUCCUUUCCUCGCUCCUGCUCCCCCAUUCUUUGCCAACAAGGUCUUCCCUCCCACCUGAGGGCUGGACCCCGUGUGAUUCCCGUGACGCGCUGCUUCUCCUGAGCACUCUACGGCUGCCCUCUAGGCAAAGCCAGCACCGGUCAAAUGGGGAGAAACCAGAGACAGGAUGGUGCUCGCGCACGCAGGAGGUCUCAGCGGAACCUGCGUGAGAACUUGUGAGUGACCUCCAGGGCAUCCUAAUUCUUGAUCACUCAUCACCACCUCACUUCUGUUCCUCUCCCCAACCCUGACCUUCGACACUGGGGGGUCUGAGUGAAGGGGGACCUGCCUGGAAUCAGGGCCCAGGAAAGGAGGGGAGAAAGGGGCUCUUUCACAGUCUGUGAUUCAAUCUCAGCAUGUCCAAGGACUACACUGGAGGCUUUCCACCGCUAUCCCAGUCGGUUCCAACAAAGAUAAAAAAUGAAUGUUCCCUAUUUUCUUGUGUAAUUCCAGUCACCAGAAGAAAGUUACAGACCAUGAACUGCAGACUCAGGACGAUAAAUUGGCAAAGCAGCACUGUGAUGAAAGAGCUCCUGGCAGCAGUGUAAAUACUGCAGCCCAGUAGAAAGAGUCUAAGACGAGGAGGCAUGAGGACAAGAUGAUCUGUAAUUGCCCUUGUUCGAAUGGGUGAGAUCUCGCCGUUCCCAUACAUUCACAGAGGAACCCACAGAGUGAACUGUACACCAAGUGAGCAGAGGAAAAGCAGGAUUAUCACAGGAAGGGUAAACAGGCCCCUCCCUAACCUGGAGUACCCUCACAACAUUUGCUCAGCAAUUUAUGUCAAGUCUGCUUUUAAUCCUGCUGUAGAUACCUGAAUGAGCCCACUAUCCCAGUCACGUCCUGAACCCAAAGAAUUCAUCUAGGCUCAUACGCUGCCCUAUUGACAUUGAUGCUCUUUUCCUGGGUCCCCCACAUCAUCUCUCCAAUUUGUGUGACCAUCCCACACCCCACCACCAUUUUUAGUUUUUAUGUUAGCUCUCAUUCUGACCGGCACUGUGGGUUAAUGUUUUAAUUUUUAUCUUACCAUCCCAACUCCUACCUCAAAGCCUUUCUCCUAGUUGGAAUCUAGCCUCGAGUCCUAAGGUGCCAUCCACCCUUGAGAUUCACAUCCUUGUCUGUUUUGUGUCCAAUUAUAUCUUCUAUUCAUUUGACUUCACAUGAAUAAUUAAAAUCAGAAUUUGAAUGGUC